AGAAUGCCAAGGUGUUUUAUUAUUAAUACGUAAAAGAUUUGUUUAUUACAAUAAUAAAUAUGAAGGACCACAGCCACAAGUUGGCUUGUUGGUCACCUACUCUAAUAGGUGGGUGGGUGUGUUCGGCUGCGGGUGUUUGGAUCCAAACGGGGUUGUAUCCGUUGUCGGAUAUGGUGAGGUAUCUCAUGUAGGACCGGAUAUAGAAUAUGGACAACAUCGUAGAAGUUCGGCUGAGCAAGAGGGCGGGCAAUAGACAUCGGUUCGGCUAGAUGUGGUCGCAUAUUAAUGAUGAACUGAUGCGUGUGAGGAACAUACCAACCCAUGUACCUUGGGUGAACAUGUGAAGGCGCCCAAGCCGGUGUCACAUCAUGUACUGACAAAGAGUGAGCCUUAAGCAAGUCCCACGCCUCUCCCCGAUGAGGGUAGUUGACUUCGUAGGUUAAUCCUCCUUUAGAACUGCGAUGACAUGGCUCCCGAGAUCUAAUCAAACACUUCAGAACAGUAUGUCCGAAUCAAAAUGACGCAGGACGGAAGCACGGUAAAGAAUUAAUUUCUACGAAUUAAUCCUAUAGAACACGAUAACUCUGGAAUCCACCAGAUAAUUGAGAGAAAACUCAGAAAUUUUUAUUAAUAAUGAAAGAUGCUGAAAAAUAAACCCUAGAGCAACUAUUUAUACUAAAAAAAAACG
rnacentral:lncRNA from 1 species